rnacentral:rRNA from 1 species
CCUACGGGAGACAGCAGUGGGGGAUAUUGCACAAUGGGGGAAACCCUGAUGCAGCGACGCCGCGUGGGUGAAGAAGCGCCUCGGCGCGUAAAGCUCUGUCAGCAGGGAAGAAAAUGACGGUACCUGAAGAAGAAGCCCCGGCUAACUACGUGCCAGCAGCCGCGGUAAUACGUAGGGGGCAAGCGUUAUCCGGAUUUACUGGGGGUAAAGGGGGCGUAGACGGCGAUGCAAGUCAGGAGUGAAAGCCCGGGGCCCAACCCCGGGACUGCUCUUGAAACUGCGUGGCUAGAGUGCAGGAGGGGCAGGCGGAAUUCCUGGUGUAGCGGUGAAAUGCGUAGAUAUCAGGAGGAACACCGGUGGCGAAGGCGGCCUGCUGGACUGCAACUGACGUUGAGGCCCGAAAGCGUGGGGAGCAAACAGGAUUAGAUACCCGAGUAGUC